rnacentral:lncRNA from 1 species
UACAAUCUAUCCACUACCAUUGUCUCUUAGUCGUGCGCCCUCAUUAUUAGAAGGGCCUGGUUGCUGUAAUGAAAACUUGGAGUGGGAUGUCGGCAUCAUGUAACGAAGGAUCUGCAUGAUGCUUAACUCCAAGUUUAUUAUACGGUUCUUCAUACUAGAGACAUCUUCCUUCAGUGCCUUGUAGCCGUCGAGAUUCAUGGAGGAGCAACCGCAAUAUUGGCAGAUGGUGUCGGACCAUAAACAAACUCUAUCAUCUAAGCUACAUCAAGUACUGAUGUAGCUAACACCCUGGUGCCAAAUCCGUAGAUGGUGGUCAACAUGCUCUUCACCCUUCCAAAAUCGUCCAACCACGCUUACGAACUGACCUUCGACUAGGACUAUGGCAAGGGACUAUACUUCUAUGAUAAUGCAAAAGCAUAUGUUUCUUACAAAAAAUGGAUUAGUAAUUAAAUUUGUAAAUAACAUAUAACGAACAAUGAAAUUAUAGAAUACUUCAUUUUUAUAAUUACUUACAAUUAACGGUCUUGGACUUGUUGUCCACAUACUCUUUGUUAUCUUUAUUUUGCUUGUGGGUACAGUCGAAUAGCUCAGAAAAUGUCACUAGUCUCUGUAUUACCUUUGAUUGUAAGACAAUUACAACAUCAUCUAUAUUGUAACAUAAUAU